GUUGCAUGAUCGGGCAAGGAAAUAUUUAUAGCUGUAAGAUAGGCAUGCGUCCCAUUAGCUGGUUGGUGAGGUAACGGCUCACCAAGGCUACGAUGGGUAGGGGAACUGAGAGGUUUAUCCCCCACACUGGUACUGAGACACGGACCAGACUCCUACGGGAGGCAGCAGUGAGGAAUAUUGGUCAAUGGGCGAGAGCCUGAACCAGCCAAGUCGCGUGAAGGAAGACUGUCCUAAGGAUUGUAAACUUCUUUUAUACGGGAAUAACGGGCGAUACGUGUAUUGCUGUGAAUGUACCGUAAGAAUA
rnacentral:rRNA from 1 species